rnacentral:piRNA from 1 species
UAAUCUCUCAGAGAAGGUGACAGUGAUCCACU